GGCGGACGGGUGAGUAACACGUGGACAAUCUGCCCCCCGGCCGGGAUAGCCCAGGGAAACCUGGAUUAAUACCGGAUGAGACGGGACCCGCGAUGGCGGGACCCGGGAAAGGCGCUGCGGCGCCGCCGGGGGAUGAGUCUGCGUCCCAUUAGCUAGACGCGGGGUAACGGCCCACCGUGGCGACGAUGGGUAGCCGGCCUGAGAGGGUGGACGGCCACAUUGGAACUGAGACACGGUCCAGACUCCUACGGGAGGCAGCAGCUAAGAAUCUUCCGCAAUGGGCGAAAGCCUGACGGAGCGAACCGCCGCGUGAACGAAGAAGGCCGUGAGGUUGUAAAGUUCUUUUCGGGAGGGGGAACAACCGUGGCAGGGAAUGGCCGCGGGAUGACGUGAAUCCCGGAAUAAGCCCCGGCUAACUACGUGCCAGCCGCGGC
rnacentral:rRNA from 1 species